rnacentral:rRNA from 1 species
UUCAUAAUACUUAACGAAUCGCAUGGCCUUGUGCCGGCGAUGGUUCAUUCAAAUUUCUGCCCUAUCAACUUUCGAUGGUAGGAUAGUGGCCUACCAUGGUUUCAACGGGUAACGGGGAAUUAGGGUUCUAUUCCGGAGAGGGAGCCUGAGAAACGGCUACCACAUCCAAGGAAGGCAGCAGGCGCGCAAAUUACCCAAUCCCGACACGGGGAGGUAGUGACAAUAAAUACUGAUACAGGGCUCUUUUGGGUCUUGUAAUUGGAAUGAGUACAAUUUAAAUCCCUUAACGAGGAACAAUUGGAGGGCAAGUCUGGUGCCAGCAGCCGCGGUAAUUCCAGCUCCAAUAGCGUAUAUUAAAGUUGUUGCAGUUAAAAAGCUCGUAGUUGAACCUUGGGCCUGGUUGGCCGGUCCGCCUCACCGCGUGCACUGGUCCGACCGGGUCUUUCCUUCUGGGGAGCCGCAUGCCCUUCACUGGGUGUGUCGGGGAACCAGGACUUUUACUUUGAAAAAAUUAGAGUGUUCAAAGCAGGCCUAUGCUCGAAUACAUUAGCAUGGAAUAAUAGAAUAGGACGUGUGGUUCUAUUUUGUUGGUUUCUAGGACCGCCGUAAUGAUUAAUAGGGAUAGUCGGGGGCAUCAGUAUUCCAUUGUCAGAGGUGAAAUUCUUGGAUUUAUGGAAGACUAACUACUGCGAAAGCAUUUGCCAAGGAUGUUUUCAUUAAUCAGUGAACGAAAGUUAGGGGAUCGAAGACGAUCAGAUACCGUCGUAGUCUUAACCAUAAACUAUGCCGACUAGGGAUCGGGCGAUGUUAUCUUUUUGACUCGCUCGGCACCUUACGAGAAAUCAAA